rnacentral:rRNA from 1 species
GAUGAACGCUGGCGGCGUGCCUAACACAUGCAAGUCGAGCGAACCUUUAUGGUGAGCGGCGGACGGGUGAGUAACGCGUGGGUAACCUGCCCUAUACACAUGGAUAACGUAUCGAAAGGUACGCUAAUACAGGAUAACAUAUAUUAUUCGCAUGGAUGAUAUAUCAAAGCGUUAGCGGUAUAGGAUGGACCCGCGUCUGAUUAGCUAGUUGGUGGGGUAAAGGCUCACCAAGGCGACGAUCAGUAGCCGACCUGAGAGGGUGAUCGGCCACAUUGGAACUGAGACACGGUCCAAACUCCUACGGGUGGCUG